GAAAACUUUGGUAGGUGGUCAUGUAGUGCAGAAGACUCCAUAAUCAAUCACACCACAUUUGACAGGGACACAUUUAUUCUAUUCUACUACAUCUUAAAGCACAAAGUCGGUGACCACAUUCACCGACAAAUUACGAAAUUACCCUUCCAUAUCAAAUCAUAUUCCCUUCAGCCCUACUGUUUCAGUUUCGGUUUUCCUCCACCACCGCUCCGCUUUCCACCGCCAUGGUAUCAUCCCUCCGCCUUCCACCACCACAACCGCUUAUAAUCUUGCCUUUUUUCUUCAGCCAAACGCCUUCUGGCCAGUGCUCAUCCGUGUUUGUUAUUUGCAUAAAAAGUCACUUCAAAGUAGCUUUGGAACGACGGAACAAAGCUCGGCGUAUUGCAUCCUGCAGAUAGAACUCACAUCGUACGACAUGAGGCACUCAACCAUAAAUCCAUCAUGUGUGCAUUUUUUCUGUUUUACACUAAUCCGGUUAGCUUAUGCGUCUUACGAAGAUUGGUUUGCUUCCUUUUGAUGAGAUUUCUUUAUCUUCUGUCUUUCAAUAUUUUGGUGGAUUUUAAAUUUCGUAGUCCAUUUUUUUUUAUGGAUUUAUAAUAUCUUAACUAUAGUGUUUUCAUUAGUAACAAACAUGGGUCAGUCAUCCGCUUCAUGUUGGGUGUUAUGCUUUAAAAAGUAACAUGUCUUCCGUUUAUGGUA